GAUGAACGCUGGCGGCGUGCCUAAUACAUGCAAGUCGAGCGAACAGACGAGGAGCUUGCUCCUCUGACGUUAGCGGCGGACGGGUGAGUAACACGUGGAUAACCUACCUAUAAGACUGGGAUAACUUCGGGAAACCGGAGCUAAUACCGGAUAAUAUAUUGAACCGCAUGGUUCAAUAGUGAAAGACGGUUUUGCUGUCACUUAUAGGUGGAUCCGCGCCGCAUUAGCUAGUUGGUAAGGUAACGGCUUACCAAGGCGACGAUGCGUAGCCGACCUGAGAGGGUGAUCGGCCACACUGGAACUGAGACACGGUCCAGACUCCUACGGGAGGCAGCAGUAGGGAAUCUUCCGCAAUGGGCGAAAGCCUGACGGAGCAACGCCGCGUGAGUGAUGAAGGUCUUCGGAUCGUAAAACUCUGUUAUUAGGGAAGAACAAAUGUGUAAGUAACUAUGCACGUCUUGACGGUACCUAAUCAGAAAGCCACGGCUAACUACGUG
rnacentral:rRNA from 1 species